rnacentral:lncRNA from 1 species
AGACACACUGCAUCCAGAUGGUUCAAUCUAUAGCCAUCAUCAGCACGUUAGUGAGAGAGCUACUCCGUGAAGUGACUGUGGCCCACAGCUCCCUCAGUAUAGAGCUGGGCAGGGGCAGGGUUAGGAGGAGGCCAGUGAGCUAAGACCUUGCUACAGCAUGGGAUUCUGACAUUAUAUGCAGUUCAGAUAUUUUGUUCAUCAUAGAUUUAUUUGCAUAAACCUUAGAUUUUAAUAAUAUUGAAUUAAAAUAUUAUUUAUCUGGAUUCCUAACAUUUUUUGUUGUCCCCUUAAAUUGUAUAUCCGAAAUGAAUGCCUCACUUGCCUCACCCUAGUCCCAACCCUGGAUGCUGAGUCUUAUCGUUCCACUCUCUCCUCACCUUAGCACAUUUAGAAUGGUGUGAGCUCCUUUCCCCCUCAAGCUGGCUUUCUUCAGUGGAUUGUGAUAGCCCCUGGGAUCAUUGCUGUUUUGUGAGACCCACCAUCAAGGAGUCAUUAGUGAACCAUCCUGUGGUGUGAAGUUGAGUGCAAUUUUAGCUUACUUUAUGGUGCUCAGUAGGGACCAGUGUAUCUACCUACGCAUGCAUUUUUGAAUUCUAUCAAGUUACACAGCAGUAAGAAGGGCCUCCUACCCAACUUGAUAGGACAUUUGUGAAAGAUAAGUCACAAAUGAUCUUCAAUCCCCAAGAACAUUUAAGAACAUCCAAUCUCAAGAUAUAAUUUGCUGCCCCUUGUCUUAUGAAAAGCUGCACCCAGAAUUCUAACAAAAAUAAUAAAAUAUCUCCCUGAGUUCCAUCCUCAGAGAAGAUUAGGCAUUGGAAAAAAAUGGGCACAUUGCUUCCAGAAUAUUUUUAAACAUCCAGCAUUAUCAUAACCCUGAUUGUUGUCAUUUCGUGUUAUCAGCCCUGUCUGAUAAGUUAAAAAGUUGAGGGACAGAGAGAUUUAUUUAGAAAGAAUCCCAGUGGAAAUUAGAAUCAAAGCUAUAAAAGGCAUUUACAGUUAAAGUUAACUGCUACAUCUGAGGGUUUUUUAGUCCUUUUCCAGCCCUUGCAGUUACAUCGCCUGAGGUGCUCUCUGAUUUCCAAGGUAGGAAGAAUAAAAUGUAUCACAGUGCUUUCACAUGGCAUGAGUUAUGCUCUCCAGUCCUGCCCAUAGAUAUUCAUCUAAUUUUGAUAACAUCAAAGAUGCUCAUAUUAAUGAGGUUAUAGGGUGACCUACUGUCCUGGUCAUAGCACUGAAAAUCCUGCAAGCCAGACAAACCAGGAGGGCUAGUCACCCUCAUUGCUAACCCCAAAUGUCCUCCAUACUGCAAAUGCCCAUUGAUUUUUCUUUUCUCAUUAUUCUUCCUGGUUAUUUUACAAUUUGAAUAAUUCACACCAAAUACAUUUGUUUAAUUUCAGCAUUUGAUAUUCAUAAAUGAAUCAAUCAUCAUUCUUACCUAAUACUUCAGAUUUAUGAUCAGAGAUUGGCUUUUGAAAUACCACAGACAAUCAUGGCAAGAAGUGCAUAAGUAGCAAAUUGCACCUGUCUUGUCUGAAAACAACCACAAAAAAAGAAUGGAGCAAAAAGUUAAAGAUGCUUAAAAUAUAUAUUAUGAAAUUAUAACUAUAUAACAACCUGCCUAAACAACAUAUUAGGUCAUGUUAUCUUCCUAGGCAAAUCUCUGGGCUAUCUUCCCAAUGCUUCUCUUGCCAGUUAAAAUUCAUACCCCAUCAUCCAUCCAUUGCACAUUCAUUUGACACCUUUUUUCUGUGCAAUGCACUGUACAGUUGUUGAGACUAUAAAGGCAAAUAAGAGAGUUUAGGCUUAUACCUCAAAAAGAGGCUUUACUAGAAAUAAAUUGGUGCAUUAUAGAAUAAAAGGUGUCAUAGCCGAGGUCUGUACAGUUGGAGACAAAAGGCAGGGGAAAGUUUAUUUUCGAGGACAUUUGUCCCAAACUGGCCAAUUUUUUCCAAAUUUUAAAGUUUAUUCUAAUGUUCUGCCCAUGUUUCUCCACAUUUCAAAAUGCUAUUCAUCCUUCAUAGACAAACUAAAAGGUAUAGGAAACAUACAUAACCCCCAAUCAAGAUUUACUAUUCAUGUGUCUAAAAUUCCGCAAUUAGAAUUUAUUUCAGUACAGCAUAGUCAUUAAUAUAGUCAUGACUGGUUAUAAGAAAAAAAAAUAUGGUUACCUUACACCAUACACAAAAUAAAUUCUAAAUACUUUAGAGUACUAAAAGUUUAAAAAUCAACAGAAAAAAAAAAGGUGAUAUUUCUCUGAUGCUACAAUAGAGAGAUAUUUUAAAUAAUUACAUCAAUAAAACAAGGACCAUAAAGAUAAAAUAUCAGUUAGAACUCUGGUUACAUUUAACAAAAAUCCAUAUAAAAUUAGUAUUAAGAUGAAAAGAGGAAUUUAUUAUAUGUAUAUUGAAAUGCAAAGGCAAGGAUGUGGCUGGACCCCAGAAAUUACUAGAAGCAGAGACCUGAACCCCUUUAAGGUAUUUUUAACCUUGGUCUCCUCUGUACCUCUCCUUCAUUCUAAUCACUGCCCAUGGCUCCCUCCAUUUCUCUAUCAAUACAGUUAAAGGCAGUCAGUGUGCCGACAGUGCUGAACUGCCAGUUUUAUGGGUCAGGUACCUGAGGAGAAAUGGACUUGCUUUCUCUUGGUCCUCUAAUAAAUGUACAGCAAAAGAGAUUGGCAUGUGUUGAAACACUCAGCUAUCACCAUAGUAUAACACAGCCACUCCUGCCUUACCACAAGAAUAGUAUGGAAGUAUGAAAGGGGAAAUAAUUUCCAAAAAGAAGAGGAGUAAAUAUUUUCACUAUGAAACGAUAGAUCAAAUUUACACAAAAACAUGAAACCUUCACAAUUAGAAAAAAAGUUAAAUAAAAUUAAAAGACAUAGCAAACUAGAAAAGGUAUCUGAAUCAAUCAUGGGAAGAUAAUUUCUUUCCUUAAUAUAUAAAUGCGUAAGAUAAAUGUGAACAUUUCACUCAAAAUGGGAAAGAGCCAGGAAUUAAGAAUGGGAGAAAGAACAAUUACAAUGAUAUGCAACAGGACAUUGUGAGAAAAUGUUCAGCUUCAUUAAUAGUCAAUUAAAUGUGAAUCAAUAACCAUCGACUGCAAAGUUUUUGCUUAGGGAAUUGGCUUAUUUUUAUAAUGCUUAGAAAUUCAGAGAAAUGUGUACUUUCAAACAUGGUAGGCAUGUGAAUUGAUGCUAUUUUUCUUGAAGAUGAUUAGGUUAUAUGCAUCAAGAUCUUUAAUGAUGGGGAGCUCCUGUUGCAGAAAGGAAUAUGACUAGAAUCCCUGAGGAUGAGGGUUUGAUACCUGGCCUUGCUCAGUGGGUCAGGGAUCCGGUGUUGCCAUGAGCUGUGGUGUAGGUCACAGAUGCAGCUCAGAUCCCACGUUGCUGUGGCUGCGGUGUAGGCUGGCAGCUUUAACUCAGAUUAGACCUCUAGCCUGGAAAUUUCCAUAAACCACGGGUGUGACCCUAAAAAGACCAAGAAAAAAAAGAAGAUCCUUAAAAACAUGAACAUAUUAUUAAUCCCCAAAUUUCAUAUGAAAGAAAUGAGAAUAUAGAUAGGAAAAUAUUUGUUUUCCCAAGGAUGUAUUUCUUUCUUUUCUUUUCUUUUUUUUUUUUUUUUAUUUGGUUUUUCUGCCUUUUCUAGGGCUGUAUCCAUGGCAUAUGGAGGUUCCCAGGCUAGGGGUCUAAUAGGAGAUAUAGCUGCCAGCCUAUGCCAAAGCCACAGCAAUGUGGGAUCCAAGCCAUGUCUGUGACCUAUACCACAGCUCACGGCAAUGCCUGAUCCUUAACCCGCUGAGUGAGGUCAGGGGUCAAACCUGCAACCUCAUGGUUCCUAGUCGGAUUCCUUAACCACUGAGCCACGACAGGAACUCCGGGUGUAUUUCCUGAAGCAUUGUUUUUGAGAGCAAAGAAUUGGAAAUAAAGUUAUGUCUAACAACAGAUUUAUUUAAAUAAACUUGGUUUUUGAGAUGGAAUAUUAUACAUCAUUAAAAUUAUAUUUUGGAGUUCCCGGCAUGGCUCAGUGGUAAUGAAUCUGAACACUACCCAUGAGGAUGCGGGUUCAAUCCCUGGCCUUGCUCAGUAGUUAAGGAUCUGGCAUUGCUGUGACUGUGGUGUAGGCUGCCAGCUGUAGCUCUGAUUCAACCCCUAGCCUGGGAAUAUCCAUAUGCCACAAAUAAAAAUAAAUAAAAAAUAAAAUUAUAUUUUAUCAAAUAUUGAAUAACAUUGAAAAUGUCAUUAAGAGAAAAACACAAAACCCAACAUCUUAUAUGCAACAUGAUUCUAGCAUAGAUCCAUACAUUGAAAAAAGAUUGGAAAAAAAUACACCUAAAUCUUGAUAUUGUUAACUCUCUGAGUGGUAGAAUUUGAAAUUAUUAUUUUUCCUGUAUGUUCCAAACUUGAAUAAAGUAGUUGAGCUACAUUUUUUUUAAUUAGGAAAAAUAAAUAUUUAAAGAAAUUUCAAACCUUGAAAUUUAAAAGUAACUCUGACUUUUGAGUCAAUGAGAAUAUAAUGUAAAUACUAUUAAAAUAUCUAUAAAAUACAAAAAUUCAAGAAACACAUGUUAAAAUGUAUGGAAUACUGUCAAAGCUAUGUAAAGAAGUAAAUAUGAAAACUCAAAAUGUUUUAAUAAAAAAAAGUGUAGACUAUCAUAAAUUUUUUAACAGCUAAGUGACACUAAGAGUUUGGGCAUAGGGGAGCUACACAAAAGUCACACUGAUGUUAUUUUUUAAUUACUCAAAAAGGCAAACAUAGUGAUUGCUUGCCAUUUAUUGUGAGGGGAAGAUUUACUAUUUCCUUACGUUAGAUAUUCAUCAUAUUUUUGCCUGGCAAAACAAUACUAAAAUUAAUAUAUUUGAUAUGCAACCUCAUGUUUUAAGAACAUUUGAGGAGUUGCUGUUGUGGCGCAACAGAAAAGAAUUAGUCUAGUAACCAUGAAGUUGCAGAUUUGAUCACUGGCCUCGCUCAGUGGGCUAAGGAUCCAGCAUUGCUGUGAGCUGUGGUGUAUGUCACAGACAUGGCUUGGUUCCCACAUUGCUGUGGCUUUGAUUGGACUCCUAACCUGGGAAUUUCCGUAUGCCAUGGGUGUGUUCC